GAUGAACGCUGGCGGCGUGCCUAAUACAUGCAAGUCGAGCGAAUGGAUUAAGAGCUUGCUCUUAUGAAGUUAGCGGCGGACGGGUGAGUAACACGUGGGUAACCUGCCCAUAAGACUAGGAUAACUCCGGGAAACCGGGGCUAAUACCGGAUAACAUUUUGAACCGCAUGGUUCGAAAUUGAAAGGCGGGUUCGGCUGUCACUUAAGGAUGGACCCGCGUCGCAUUAGCUAGUUGGUGGGGUAACGGCUCACCAAGGCAACGAUGCGUAGCCGACCUGGGAGGGUGAUCGGCCACACUGGGACUGAGACACGGCCCAGACUCCUACGGGAGGCAGCAGUAGGGAAUCUUCCGCAAUGGACGAAAGUCUGACGGAGCAACGCCGCGUGAGUGAUGAAGGCUUUCGGGUCGUAAAACUCUGUUGUUAGGGAAGAACAAGUGCUAGUUGAAUAAGCUGGCACCUUGACGGUACCUAACCAGAAAGCCACGGCUAACUACGUGCCAGCCGCCGCGGUAA
rnacentral:rRNA from 1 species